rnacentral:lncRNA from 1 species
AUGGCGGAGUCUUUCUUCAUCCAGACGCCCGGAGCUUUUUUACUUUCUGCCGAAAAGGACCUGGCCCACGAAAGGUGCAGCAGCGCCUCUGGGAGAGAAGAGGGAUGGCUAAACUGGGACGGCCCCCGAGACGCCAGAAGGCAAACACCUGCGACUCAACUUCAAAGCACAGGCUGGAAGCCUGGAAACGGCNUCCCCGCGCGAGGGCUCUGGUCUAGCGGCCGUUCGGAGCGCCAGAAAGUGUGUUGCUGGAACGGCAUUCAAAGAUACUGGAAGGAUACAAGAUUUCAGGGCCGUGUCAGGGUUCCUGCUUCACAGCGCUGACAGCUGCCCACGUCUGAAAGGCGACGAGAUGCAUUUUUAGCAU